rnacentral:rRNA from 1 species
AGUGAACGCUAGCGGGAUGCUUUACACAUGCAAGUCGAACGAGUGGCGGACGGGUGAGUAAUAUAUCGGAACGUGCACAGUAGCGGGGGAAAACUAAUCGAACGAGUGGCUAAUACCGAAUACCAUUGGAGCGGGCCGUAGCGGAUUAGCUAGUUGGUGGGGUAAAGGUGCACAAAGGCAAAGAUCCGUAGCUGGUGUGAGAGGCAGACGAGCCACACUGGGACUGAGACACGGCCCAGACUCCUACGGGAGGCAGCAGUGGGGAAUUUUGGACAAUGGGGGAAACCCUGAUCCAGCCAGCCCGCGUGUGUGAGAAGGUCUUCGGGUUGUAAAGUACUUUUGUCAGAGAAGCGGUAUCUGCAGAAAAAGCACCGGCUAACUACGUGCCAGCAGCCGCGGUAAUUC